GCCCGGAUGGUCUAGUGGUAUGAUUCUCGCUUGUAAGUCGAACCUGAAAACAUUCGAUCACUAGCCUCGGAUACUAAUAAAAACUCCAGUGGGCUACCAGCACCAAUCUGCGAGAGGCCCCGCGUUCGAAUCGCGGUUCGGGCC